rnacentral:tRNA from 1 species
GCUUUUACAGCUCAAUGGCCGAGCAUCUGUCUUGUAAACAGAUGUCCUGGAGUUCAAUCCCGCGAGGAAGCA